GGAUAAUUGUCAGCACAUUUACUAAAUCUGGAAUGAUACAGAGAACAUUAACAUGACCCCUGCACAGUGAUGACAUGCAAAUAUGAAACGUUCCAUAUUUUA